AGCGCCGGUUAUAUCUUCACAGCAAUCUUUCAAAGAUUGGCCAACACAUCUUGGAUUGCCUUGUAAGCUCGUCCAUUUCAAACUCGCAACUACUAGACUUCAGAUCGUCGUCAGAUGGACAGCAACAGGAACCGCUCGCAGCCUCCUCCGGGCUACCCGAGGAUGGACGACGCGGAGCAGCAGGGCGGCGGCAAGAAGAAGAAGGGGUGCUGCGGCGGAUCGUCGCGGCGCCGCGCGACGUCGGGAAAGCGUGGCGAGGCGAGCUUCAUCGAGGGAUGCAUCGCCGCGCUCUGCUGCUGCUGGCUCUGCGAGCUCUGCUGCGAUUAGCUUGCUGCUCCAAGAACCAAGCUAAGGUGGCGGACUUGUUGUGUGCCAACGCGGAGGCUGGUGUAAUACGUCGUAAACCUUUUAUUAUUUGCUUGUGUGUGUAAGUGUGUGCUCCUCAGCUGGUGUCGUGAUGGAUGUCAAUCGUGGGAAUUAAAACAAAAAUCUAUGAAUACAGAGUACGCAUUGUGUUUAUGUUUUACACAUAUGAA